AUCCCAGACUCCUACGGGAGGCAGCAGUGGGGAAUAUUGCACAAUGGGGGAAACCCUGAUGCAGCGACGCCGCGUGAGCGAUGAAGUAUUUCGGUAUGUAAAGCUCUAUCAGCAGGGAAGAAAAUGACGGUACCUGACUAAGAAGCCCCGGCUAACUACGUGCCAGCAGCCGCGGUAAUACGUAGGGGGCAAGCGUUAUCCGGAUUUACUGGGUGUAAAGGGAGCGUAGACGGUCCUGCAAGCCAGAUGUGAAAGCCCGGGGCUCAACCCCGGGACUGCUCUGGAAACUGUAUAGCUGGAGUGCAGGAGAGGUAAGUGGAAUUCCUAGUGUAGCGGUGAAAUGCGUAGAUAUUAGGAGGAACACCAGUGGCGAAGGCGGCUUACUGGACUGUAACUGACGUUGAGGCUCGAAAGCGUGGGGAGCAAACAGGAUUAGAUACCCCUGUA
rnacentral:rRNA from 1 species